rnacentral:tRNA from 1 species
GCCCCCGUAGCCCAAUCGGCAGAGGCAGCGCUCUUAAAAAGCGCCGAGUGUGGGUUCGAGCCCCACCGGGGGCA